rnacentral:rRNA from 1 species
AUUGAACGCUGGCGGCAGGCUUAACACAUGCAAGUCGAGCGGGGGAAGGUAGCUUGCUACCGGACCUAGCGGCGGACGGGUGAGUAAUGCUUAGGAAUCUGCCUAUUAGUGGGGGACAACAUCUCGAAAGGGAUGCUAAUACCGCAUACGUCCUACGGGAGAAAGCAGGGGAUCUUCGGACCUUGCGCUAAUAGAUGAGCCUAAGUCGGAUGAGCUAGUUGGUGGGGUAAAGGCCUACCAAGGCGACGAUCUGUAGCGGGUCUGGGAGGAUGAUCCGCCACACUGGGACUGAGACACGGCCCAGACUCCUACGGGAGGCAGCAGUGGGGAAUAUUGGACAAUGGGGGGAACCCUGAUCCAGCCAUGCCGCGUGUGUGAAGAAGGCCUUAUGGUUGUAAAGCACUUUAAGCGAGGAGGAGGCUACUUUAGUUAAUACCUAGAGAUAGUGGACGUUACUCGCAGAAUAAGCACCGGCUAACUCUGUGCCAGCAGCCGCGGUAA